rnacentral:misc_RNA from 1 species
AGGAAGAAGAAAAAGCCGUGCGUGCGUGCGUGUGCUUGUGUCUGCAGCUGGUGUGCCCGAGGGUGUAAGCUACUUGCUGCUGAGAGAAGUGCCGCUUGAGUCCACUACAUACAACCACGCUCGGCAUUUUUCGCAUUGAUAGCGAAUCGAAACGUGUGCCUCGAGCGCCUCGACCGACUUAUAAAAUGUGGAUUCGAGAACAGUCUGCGCUUUAGUUAUACGAAUGCUCUUCGACAGCGAUGACGAUAACCUUCCAGAGGUGCCGACUAUCAGGUCAAACACCCUCAUACCGCUGAAGACGUCCGGCGCUCAGGCACAGCGAUUACAGCAGCUGGAGGCAGAGUAUCGCGCCUCGCGGGCCGAGACCGCCGCGGUUCGUCAGAGAGCUGCACGCCGCUGCUCUUCCUCGCGGCCGGUCUCGCCGCCGGAGCCAAGGAAGGCGGCCUCGCAUGUCUGGGAGGAGCGCGACGAGGCGGCCUUUUACGAGCUUCACUCGCUUGUUCCGCACCUGUCACCACAGUUCGCCUGCUCUUACAGCGACGCGGUAUUACUGAUUGCCGCCAUUCAGAGCGGCGGAGCAGCCUCAGGCAACCGCCACACCCUCGCAGACAAGUGUCAGUCACUCGAGGCAGAUCGUCGCCAGCUGGAGCAGCGUUUGGAGAAGUCUCGCGCCCAGUGCGAGGAGCUCAAGCGCGAUGUGGCUGAGGUGAAACAGAAACUGAGGGUGGUGCAGGAGGAGUCGCGGAACAGUGUGAAUGCACUGGCGCAGCGACGCGAGGAGAUGCGCAAGCAGCUGCUACUGGAGGAGACGCGCGCGGAAAAGCUGAUGGUGCGCAACAAAAAGCUCGAGCAGGAGAACGACUCCCUCAAGGGGCGUGUGCGAGAGCAGUUCCGCUGACGGCCCGCGCCACCUUGCCGCCUGUGCACCUCUGUGCGUGGCGGCUGUGCGCGUGUGAGCGCAAGGAACCGAAAGAGGGACAUUUCUUCUUUCUCUUUUUGUAUUACUGUUUUUCGCUGUGGUCCCUCCUGCCAGCUGACGCGAUGCCGCGCUCCCGCCGCCUCUCUCUCUCAUGUGAACAUAUGCUCUCUCUCUGAGGUUGCGGCGUUGUUGUUGGUGACGAAUGACCGGCGAUGGCUAUUGUAUACAUCGGCUUUGCUUCUUCAACCGAAAAAGCACACAACUAUGGGAAAAAAGGGAACUGCACUCCUGACGCUGCAAACGCCGCUCGUCGUCAUCUCCCCUCUCACCCCAGGCACUCUUCCGAACUCUCUUGCCCUCGGUGCGCCGGCCCAUACCCACAUACUGCACCUUUGUGCGGCACGCAUGCGCCCGCUUCUCUUUUGAGGCGCAUCCGCUCUUUUCAAGGGAGCGAGGGCACGCAGGCGAAUCUGGUCCCCUUUUCUCUCCCCUGGCAUGUGCAUCCGUGUGUGGC